UACAGAGGUCCCAAGCGUUGUUCGGAUUCAUUGGCGUAAGGGUGCGUAGGCGGCGCGGUAAGUCGGGUGUGAAAUCUCGGGGCUUAACUCCGAAACUGCAUUCGAUAACUGCAGAGCUUGAGUACUUAAGAGGAUCGACGGAAUUCCCGGUGUAGAGGUGAAAUUCGUAGAUAUCGGGAAGGAACACCAGUGGCGGAAGGCGGCGAUCUGGGAAGAUACUGAACGCUGAGGUGCGAAAGCGUGGG
rnacentral:rRNA from 1 species